GGGAAGAGAAGGGCUCUCCUCAAGCGGGUGGAAGGAGGGAGGCCUCCCGAGGGAAUGAGACUCCAGGCCACUCCCCCGCAGCAAGGCAGGAUCACCUGCGUCGCGGAGAGCAGUUAGAGGUCCCUGGAGUGGAAAAGGGCAGUGGGACCUGGUAGCUUGGGUUCCCUGCAACUUGGGGUUCGACCUCCAGGCAAUGAAGUAGGGAUGGUCCUGCAAGUCAAGAUUCCAGUAGCAAGAGUGCAUCAGAUCUCUGUAAGGAAAAUAACUAACAUUGCUCAGUUCCCUGUAGAGUUGCAGGGCGCUUUGACGUUAUCUCCCUUGGUUCUCCAUCAGGUCGUAGUGGACUAAUUUUACAGGCGAAGUUAAGUGACUUACCCAAAACCUCACAGCUAAUAAACGGCAGAGCCGGCACCCAGCUGUACUGGCUUCCAGCGCAUCCCAUUAUCUCCAUAAAUCCCCCUGAUUCAACUAAUAUUAGACGCCCCACAGGUAAGAUGCUUCAGAGUUAGAGGGGAGUUGAAGAUACCUUUGCCUUCAAAGAAGUAAGGAAUGAAACAAAGAUAAAACAGACAAUAAAAGACAAACCAUGAUAGGUGCCACGUGAAAAGUGGCAGAGUACUGCCGGGAAUCAAAGAACCGUGUAUAUCUGUCUUGGGGAUAAGGAAAGAAACGCAGCAUGAAGGAGUAGGCAUUUGGGAUUGACCUUGAAGGAGACAGGGAGAGUUUUACAGCAAGAAGGGAUAGCAUGAGAAUAUAUAUGAAGGCGAAUCAGUGAAAGUUGUGUUGGGGAAAGAGCAAAGACUCCAGGUAUGUUGAGAGGUAGAAAAGACAAAGGAGUAUGGGGCCUAAGAUACCAAAUGGAUGAAUUUAUAUUUAAUUCAGUAUUUUGAGUUUUUAUGGUUCAGAAGUUUGGGGGAAGAAAAGGAAGGUUUUUUUUUUCUUUAUGCUAGUGAUUUAUCUGUGAAGGGAAGCAGAAAUCAGAGGUGGAAAAACUGACAGAUCUACUGUAGGCCAGGUAAAAGGUAAUGAUGAGUCUGACCUAAAGGGACAGCCAGGGGAAUUUAAAGAGCAUAGUUGAGAGAUGAUGUGCAUGCAGAAUCUAUAGAAUUUGCUAACUGAUUGAUUAAUUGUGGGUAGGAAGAGAGAAAUCAAAGAAAGUGGAGGUUUUGAGUUUCUAGAUAAUUGCAAGAGAGAAAAGAGACAAUUACAAAGGAAAGGAGAAGGAGCUACUUCUUGAGAGAAGAUCAGUUUAGAUUUAGACAUUUUAAGAAUUCAAAGGGUUGUCAAGACAGCCAGACGGACAUGGACACUAAUAAGUUAGAAAUAAAGGUUUUGUAAUAUGGGAAAGAGGACUGAGCUAGAAAAUAGACUCAUAGAUAAUCAGCCUAGGAGUGAUAUUGCUGUGAGAUAAAAGAAGAAAACAAAGUCAGAAUCUUGGAAAACACCCUCUUCAGAGUCUCGCUGCUCAAAACGUGGUCAGUGGCCCAGCAGCACUGACAUGAGGACCUUAGUUGGAAACUCAGAAUCUCAGGCUCCACCCCAGACCUGCUGAACCAGCAUCUUCAACUUAACAAGAACCCGAAGAGAUUUGUGCCACAUCAAAAAGUUUGAGAAGCUCUGAUCUAGCUGGACCCUGGACACGGUGACUCUGAUUCAAUUAUGCAGAUGACCACAAGCCUCUGGGGUUGGCAGAGCCACAAGAAAGAAGGUGCCUGGAUGAAGGAGAGCUACCCACUGACCUGGACACCCAAUUAUUCAUCUGUCUUAGAGCUAUUGGAAUCCUGGAUCAUUGUGGGAAAUGAAAAAUACUUCGAUGGAAUCAGCAGCCAUUGAUCCAAUGCCAACUCCAAGACUGGAACGUCGCAAUGAUAGUUCCAAGGCGGAAAUUUGACGUAAUUCUUUUCGACACAGUUUUACAGGUGUGACACCAUGAAGUCGUCCCACAUUUCCCACAACCUGAAUUUGGGAUGACAGUCGACUGAGAUUUUGUAAACUGAUUAUCAUCUGUUUCUGUUUUAUUCUCAUUACCUAACAUAUGCCCACUGGGGGGUGCUAAAGAACUAUGAAUUGGAGGUAAUUCUGGGAUAUCUUCCCAGAGCUUUUGAGGAUUUGGCUGUGUUCUUAAGCUGCUUGCUGAACUGUCCAUUUCUCUUUCUCUUCCACUUAAUUUCAUACUUUCAGGUCUGGAUGCCCAUUUUAAUUCUUCUGAAAGCAUGCCUCCUUCUGGCUUCAGGACUCCAUCUCCAGCCUUAUGAUCUAAAAAUAAUCCCCAAACCAAAAAAUUAGAUAUUAUUUCCUCAAAAUUAGGUGUUUUAAUCAAAACAUCUUAACAUAAAUACAUUAUUAUCACCCAA
ensembl:lncRNA novel transcript